AUAAAGUUUGAUUUUUGCUUAGUAAUUUUGUUUUAUAAUCAUUAGUAUAUGCAAAUUUUAGUGAUUAGGAUUUACUCAAAGUAAUCUUAGGUAAGGAGCAAUAUUUCGUAUUAAUAAAUAAGAUUACUCUUGAAUUGGUAAAUUAUAAUAAGUCUGAGAAAUUUUGUGCCAGCAGUCGCGGUUAAACUUGGGGGCUAAAUAAAAUUUAUUAGUUAAAGUUAAUUGAUUUUAGUUUUAAUGGGGGUUUGUGUUAAUAAAAAGUGAAAUUAGGUUAUUAAAUGUAAAAUUCUAUUUAGUUAUAAAUGUAAUGAAGCUUAAAAAGUUAGGGGAUGAAUCAGGAUUAGAUACCCUAGUACACUUAACUGUAAUUAUAGAAUACUGGGAAAUUAAAAGUUAUAUUCUUUAAAUUUAAAGGAUUUGGCGGUAUUUUAGUCUAGUUAGAGGAAUCUGUCUCUUAAACGAUAGUACACGCAUUAUCUUGCUUAUUUUAGUGAAUCAGUUUGUAUACCGUCAUUAUAAGAUAAUUUAAGAGAGAAUAUUAUUGAGAUUAUAUUAUAUGAAUAUAUUAGAUCAAGGUGCAGCUAAUAAAUAAGAAAAGAUGGAUUACAAUAAAACUUAUUUAUACGGAUUUAAUAUUUAAACAUGUUAAUGAAGGAGGAUUUAAUUGUAAAAUAAAAUUAAUAGGUUUUUUUGAUAAAAGCUCUAAAUUAUGUACAUAUCGCCCGUCGCUUUCAUUUAAGGUGAAAUAAGUCGUAACAUAGUAGGGGCACUGGAAAGUACCCCUAGAAUUUU
rnacentral:ncRNA from 1 species